GAUGAACGCUGGCGGCGUGCCUAAUACAUGCAAGUCGAGCGAACGGACGAGAAGCUUGCUUCUCUGAUGUUAGCGGCGGACGGGUGAGUAACACGUGGAUAACCUACCUAUAAGACUGGGAUAACUUCGGGAAACCGGAGCUAAUACCGGAUAAUAUUUUGAACCGCAUGGGUCAAAAGUGAAAGACGGUCUUGCUGUCACUUAUAGAUGGAUCCGCGCUGCAUUAGCUAGUUGGUAAGGUAACGGCUUACCAAGGCAACGAUGCAUAGCCGACCUGAGAGGGUGAUUGGCCACACUGGAACUGAGACCCGGUCCAGACUCCUACGGGAGGCAGCAGUAGGGAAUCUUCCGCAAUGGGCGAAAGCCUGACGGAGCAACGCCGCGUGAGUGAUGAAGGUCUUCGGAUCGUAAAACUCUGUUAUUAGGGAAGAACAUAUGUGUAAGUAACUGUGCACAUCUUGACGGUACCUAAUCAGAAAGCCACGGCUAACUACGUG
rnacentral:rRNA from 1 species